GGAAAGAAAGAAAGAAAGCAAUAGAGAAGAUGAAGAAGUUGUCGUCAUGGCUUCCUGGACCAACAAAGAAGCUCCAUGUGAAGGUGAAACCAUUGAAGCUUGAAGGAGUCUGCGUGGGAGAUGUAGAAGAUGGAAAGGAAAGAAUAGUUGUUGUCGUGAUGAAAUGGAAAGGACCCAGAGCUAGAUUUGUUCCAUUUUAUCAUAGAGUUAUGAAAUGCCCAAAAAAUUAUAGCAGCC
rnacentral:misc_RNA from 1 species